AGAGUUUGAUCCUGGCUCAGAACGAACGCUGGCGGCAGGCUUAACACAUGCAAGUCGAACGCAUCCUUCGGGGUGAGUGGCAGACGGGUGAGUAACGCGUGGGAACGUGCCCUUCAGUUCGGAAUAACCCAGGGAAACUUGGGCUAAUACCGGAUACGUGCGAGAGCAGAAAGAUUUAUCGCUGAAGGAUCGGCCCGCGUCUGAUUAGCUAGUUGGUGAGGUAAUGGCUCACCAAGGCGACGAUCAGUAGCUGGUCUGAGAGGAUGAUCAGCCACAUUGGGACUGAGACACGGCCCAAACUCCUACGGGAGGCAGCAGUGGGGAAUAUUGGACAAUGGGCGCAAGCCUGAUCCAGCCAUGCCGCGUGAGUGAUGAAGGCCUUAGGGUUGUAAAGCUCUUUCGUCCGGGACGAUAAUGACGGUACCGGAAGAAGAAGCCCCGGCUAACUUCGUGCCAGCAGCCGCGGUAAUACGAAGGGGGCUAGCGUUGUUCGGAAUCACUGGGCGUAAAGGGCGCGUAGGCGGCUUGAUAAGUCGGGGGUGAAAGCCUGUGGCUCAACCACAGAAUUGCCUUCGAUACUGUCUGGCUUGAGACCGGAAGAGGUAAGUGGAACUGCGAGUGUAGAGGUGAAAUUCGUAGAUAUUCGCAAGAACACCAGUGGCGAAGGCGGCUUACUGGUCCGGUUCUGACGCUGAGGCGCGAAAGCGUGGGGAGCAAACAGGAUUAGAUACCCUAGUAGUCC
rnacentral:rRNA from 1 species